CCAAAAAAAAAAUUAUAUUAUCAAGAAUUGCAUUGAAUAUUUGGACUGCAUAUAGUGCAAAACAAGGUUUUACUAGUUAAACUGAAAUGUUUUGCCCAAACACACACACACGUGUGUAACCAUUGUUCAACAAGCUACAGUAAACACUGACAAGCUAACUUUUCUGUAUACAUCCUACCAUAUGGCUGGCGUCAGGUGGUAAGUAAUGCUGGAUGAUAUCGACACAAACUACGCUGUAGAUUCUGCAAGUAUUGUCCAACAACAGGGACAUGACACUGACAUUGAUGAUAAGGAUGAUUCCGUGAGUACUGGCACAGCAACGUCGCGAAGCAGUUUUGGCCUCAAUAAAUUACAUCGGAAAUGUAAAGCGACGAAAAUUGUGAAGCCAUCUUUUAAAUAUGUCUGUCAUCUGCGGGAGGACCACGGUCAACCAAUUUUUGGUGUUCAAUUCAAUCACCAUUUAUGGCAACAGGCCAUAUUCGCAUCUGUUGGGAAAGAUCGUAUUUCAAUUUAUGAGUGCACUGAGCCACCUGAGGAUGGUAACGGCGGGAUAAAAUUGCUGCAAUGUUAUGCUGAUCCAGAUCCUGACGAAAACUUUUACACCUGUGCAUGGUCCUACGAUGUUGAGACAUCUGAACCAAUUUUGGCAGCUGCCGGUUAUCGAGGAGUUAUACGUCUUUUUAACAUCUCAAGGAACAUGAGCAAUAAACAUUUCAUUGGCCAUGGUCAUGCUAUAAAUGAGUUGAAAUUCCACCCAAAACUUCCUUACAUUUUGUUAUCUGGAAGCAAGGAUCAUUCUUUACGUUUAUGGAAUGUAAGUUCAGAUGUGUGUGUAGCCAUAUUUGGUGGCGUUGAAGGCCAUCGUGAUGAAGUUCUAUCAUUAGAUUUUGACUCAAAAGGAGAUCGCAUUAUGUCCAGUGGCAUGGACCACUCGUUAAAGUUGUGGUGUCUCAAUAAGCCAGCCAUUCAUGACGCUUUAGAGAGCAGUUGUCAUUACAAUGUGAACAAGAAUGCCGCACCCUACCCAACAAUAAAAGAACAUUUCCCUGACUUUUCCACCAGAGAUAUUCAUCGCAACUACGUUGAUUGUGUUGUCUGGUUUGGAGACUUUGUGCUAUCAAAGUCCUGUGAAAAUUCAAUCAUUUGUUGGAAACCGGGAAAAUUGGACCAAAAAGAAGUUAGACCGCAAGAAACUGCGACGAGUGUCAUUCACCAUUUCGACUACAAGGAGUGUGAAAUUUGGUUUGUUCGAUUUGCCUUUAAUCUGUGGCACAAAAUGUUAGCCCUGGGUAACCAGCAGGGCAAAACCUACGUUUGGGAAUUGGAUGCCUCUGACCCUAACGCAACAAAGUGCAGUACGUUAGUUCAUCCAAAAUGUAAUGCUGCCAUAAGGCAAACCACGUUUUCAAGAGAUUCUUCAAUUUUGGUUUGUGUUUGCGACGAUGGAACAAUCUGGCGUUGGGAUAAGCUUUAAAAACUAAAUUAAAUGAAUAAAAUAAACUGCAACUUGCGUUUGGCCGUUAAAAAAAACUACUAAUUAUUUAUGGAUUUUUGUUCUUAAGCGAACCUCUCCAAAUUAAGCAAAGUGAUCAAAAUGGCCGAUAAGAGUAAAGGGACCUUUGAAUAGUUUCUAAAUUUUACAUUUUUAUACGACAUUCUCAAAGCCAAAUAAUCUUACGUGGACAGUAAAUUAAAAUCAAUAUACUCUUAAGUCAAUGGCAAUGACCGCGCCGUCCCUUUUUUAAUGCCACGCGUCAUCUAUAAAACAAC